rnacentral:rRNA from 1 species
GACGAAAGUCUGACGGAGCAACGCCGCGUGAACGAAGAAGGCCUUCGGGUCGUAAAGUUCUGUUGUUAGGGAAGAACAAGUACCAGAGUAACUGCUGGUACCUUGACGGUACCUAACCAGAAAGCCACGGCUAACUACGUGCCAGCAGCCGCGGUAAUACGUAGGUGGCAAGCGUUGUCCGGAAUUAUUGGGCGUAAAGCGCGCGCAGGUGGUUCCUUAAGUCUGAUGUGAAAGCCCACGGCUCAACCGUGGAGGGUCAUUGGAAACUGGGGAACUUGAGUGCAGAAGAGGAAAGUGGAAUUCCAAGUGUAGCGGUGAAAUGCGUAGAGAUUUGGAGGAACACCAGUGGCGAAGGCGACUUUCUGGUCUGUAACUGACACUGAGGCGCGAAAGCGUGGGGAGCAAACAGGAUUAGAUACCCUGGUAGUCCACGCCGUAAACGAUGAGUGCUAAGUGUUAGAGGGUUUCCGCCCUUUAGUGCUGCAGCUAACGCAUUAAGCACUCCGCCUGGGGAGUACGGCCGCAAGGCUGAAACUCAAAGGAAUUGACGGGGGCCCGCACAAGCGGUGGAGCAUGUGGUUUAUUCGAAGCAACGCGAAG